CUCAGAAUUUUAGCUUCAGCCUCACUAACAGCAGAAGGGAACGUCUGGGGACAGGACUGUUCUAGGUGAAGGAGGGGUUGGGGACGUGCAGAUGGUAGCAGGAGGUUUUGUGGAGGAGAGGCCAAAGAGUUCACCAGGGCCAAACUUGACAGCCUUGCUCACAGGAGUCUACAGAUGCUGCUAACUCAGCCUCAAAUCUCAGACAGACGAUCUCAUCCCCACUGUGAACAAGACAUGUGUGCUCCUCCAGACAAGCAUGGCUCUGGGGCUGGCGUCUGAUUCCCAUAGUUCCUGGACUUAAUCUUGGUGUGAAAGGCCUGGAGGGAAGGAAGAAUGAGGAGCUGUGGAGUAGGGGAGGCAGCAGCAUCAAAACUGCCUAUCUGAGCAUGCGGUCCCUGUGGCUUGGAGACCCUGCCCCCUCUGGACAGAGGGAGAGGUUGUGGUCAGAAGCCUUGAAUGCCAGGAGGGCUCUUCCUUCCUCAGUCCACCUUCUCCCCCCCCCCAAAACACAGUGUUCUGGUGACUGUCUUGGAAAGAUCCUCACUCUUCAGCUUUGCACAGAGUCACAGAUGGUUGCUGAUGACCUGGGAGCUGUGGACACCCUGAGCAUGGUGCCCUCCAUGACUGAAGCUGCUCCUGUGAGGGCUUAGGAGACAAACAGAAGCUUAAGGAGGCCCAAAGAACAGCAUAAAGUGUGGAAUACUUCUGCAGAAAAAAAGAGAGGAUGCCUGUGCCCUGCGAUGGCCUCUAGGAUUUGUUGAGUCAGUCACCCAAUACGUAUUCAGGUUCAUUGCCAGCAUCACUGGGCAGAGAUUUAUCAGGAUUGCAAUGUAAAUUUAGGGUCAAGCUUUCUCUUCAGACAUCUAUUUCCAAGGGUCCACUGACCUAGAACUGAGCUGCCUGAAGCAUGCCAUCCAGAGGCCUUAAGUUCGAGGCCCGAGCAACCAGCCUGCCUUGUGACAGCGAAGGCAGGCAACAUAUUGAUCUCCGUGGUUGCUCCCUGUGCAUUUAAAUAAUAGAUCAUGGACUGGGGCUGUGGAGAGAGGAAAAUCCUGGCCGCCACUCUAUCAUUUCCCCAGCUAUGGAUUUUGUCAUUACUGUAUUUGCCUUGUGUUACAGUGGGCGAAGAUUGUAUUUGUGAUUGAUGGCAGCAGAUGGGCAAUUUAUUCUGCUGUUUACUUUUUAUGGUGGUGGAUGUGGGAGUAAAUGCAGCCAGAACACUUGGCUAAGCAUUUGCUAAUAUCCUCUAUUGACUGAGACACACAGGGAGUUUAUCUGAGGUCCAUGGACACAGCCUUGACACGGAAAAGGGGCCCAGGAUGCUCAAGAACUGUGCACUCAGGGACUGAGGAAAGGGGUGCCAGGUACUUGACACCAGUUAACCUGUGUAAGCACCAUGAUCAGCCAAGAAGCAGAUGCGAUUAUCUUCACUGUAUAGGAUUCUAUCAAGGAUCGAUGCUGCCGUCAGUGACUUUGCUCCCCUGAUUCCUUCCACCCUGAAAAUGCUUUUCCUCCAUUUCUACACAUUGUAACUCUCAAUGAAGGCAUCGAACAGCCCCUGGAUCUGGCAGAGCCCCCUGACAGCGAUAACUGAAGCCGACCCUGAGAAUGACCCUAUGGUCUAAGAAGAAUGUGUGUUCCGAGCCCCGAGCUAAGGAAUCUGAGCUCCACUCAGAUAACCACUCCUGGCCAGGCGCAGUGGCUCACGCCUGUAAUCCCAGCACUUUGGGAGGCUGAGGUGGGCGGAUUACUUGAGGUCAGGAGUUCAAGACCAGCCAGGCCAACAUGGCAAAACCCCGCCUCUACUAAAAAUACAAAAAUUAGCCAGUCAUGGUGCUGCGUGUCUAUCUCAGCUACUAGGGAGGCUGAGGCAGGAGAACUGCUUGAACCCAGGAGACAGAGGUUGCAGUGAGCAGAGAUCGCACCACUGCAGCACUCUACCGAGGUGACAGAGUAAGACUCUGUCUCAAAAAAAAAAAAAAGAAAAAAAAGAAAAGAAAUCCACUCCUUAUCCCUGAAGGACAUCUGAACCCCUGGCCCAUCCCUUGGAACCCAGUCUGUACAGGGAGUCAAGGCCCUUUGUUUUGAGUUAAGUGGAGGGUGCUACGUGAAAUGCUAUAUGAAUGGCAUGCUUUUUACCAACUGUAGUGGUUCUCCUGUCCAGCCUGCUGCUACUGUACCACCCUCAAUGCAAGUUCCCUCAAUAAACUCUGUGUCUUGA